rnacentral:rRNA from 1 species
CAGCAGCCACGGGAAUACAGAGGGUGCGAGCGUUAAUCGGAUUUACUGGGCGUAAAGCGUGCGUAGGCGGCUAAUUGAGUCGGAUGUGAAAUCCCCGAGCUUAACUUGGGAAUUGCAUUCGAUACUGGUUAGCUAGAGUGUGGGAGAGGAUGGUAGAAUUCCAGGUGUAGCGGUGAAAUGCGUAGAGAUCUGGAGGAAUACCGAUGGCGAAGGCAGCCAUCUGGCCUAACACUGACGCUGAGGUACGAAAGCAUGGGGAGCAAACAGGAUUAGAUACCCCUGUAGUCCCUGUCUCUUAUAA